rnacentral:rRNA from 1 species
UACGUAGGUGGCAAGCGUUGUCCGGAUUUACUGGGCGUAAAGGGCGUGCAGGCGGCUUGUUAAGUGCAGGGGUGAAAGCUCCCGGCUCAACUGGGAGAGGUUCUUGCAUACUGGCGAGCUCGAGGGGAGGCAGAGGAAAGUGGAAUUCCCGGUGUAGUGGUGAUAUGCGUAGAUAUCGGGGAGGAACACCUGUGGCGAAGGCGGCUUUCUGGGCCUUACCUGACGCUGAGGCGCGAAAGCGUGGGGGAGCAAACAGG